UCCCUGGAGGUCUUGUGGUUAGGCCACGGUGCUCUCACUGCUGCGGCCCAGGUUCAAUUCUGGGCCAGGGAA